AGAGAGAGACAUGCGCGCAUAUCAAUAAGCGGAGGAAAAGAAACUAACUAGGAUUCCCUUAGUAACGGCGAGUGAAGCGGGAAGAGCUCAAAUUUGAAAUCUUCAAGGUUUUACCUUGACGAAUUGUAGUUUAAAGAAGUGUUUUCUGUUGGAGUUUUGGUAAAAGUUCUUUGGAAUAGGACAUCAUAGAGGGUGAGAAUCCCGUAUUUGACCAUUAUUUUCAGCUGUGUGAUACACUUUCAAAGAGUCGGAUUGUUUGGGAAUGCAGUCCAAAAUGGGUGGUAAAUUUCAUCUAAAGCUAAAUAUUGGCGAGAGACCGAUAGCGAACAAGUACCGUGAGGGAAAGAUGAAAAGAACUUUGAAAAGAGAGUUAAACAGUACGUGAAAUUGUCAAAAGGGAAGCGUUUGACACCAGUGUUGUUUUCUCGAAAAUCAAUUAAAAAAGGCCGGAUUUUGUGUUGUAUUGACCUUAAAAGCUUUCUUCACUCUUUUCUUGUCUUUUUUAAUGCACUUUUCGUUUAACAAGUCAACAUCAGUUUCUUUUGUUGUAAAAGGGUCAUUGGAAGGUGGCUUUCUUUUCGGAGAAAGUGUUUAUAGCCUUUGAUCUCUGCAACCGGAGAGACUGAGGUCUGCAGCGUAGACUCUUCGGGGUUAGAUACAUUUGUGCUAAGCUAUAGCUUUUUAUAGACAACUUGUUGACUAUAUUUAGUCUUGUGGCUUACUCGCUUAUGCUAUUUUACCUACGCUUAGGAUGUUGACAGCAGUAUAGACUGU
rnacentral:rRNA from 1 species